GAAAGCCGUGUGCGGGAAAACCGCAUGCACGGUUUGAUGAGGGAGGGCUGGCCAAGGCGGCAAUGGUUUGGCUAUUUAGGCACCGUCAGACGAAAGGGACGGGAACAGACAAGCAGAGCCUAAAGCGGCAGCAACCAGUUCCCUACUCUAC
rfam:Nitrospirae bacterium GWC2_57_13 gwc2_scaffold_727, whole genome shotgun sequence.